rnacentral:lncRNA from 1 species
GCCAUUCAAGUUUUAUUCAAUUUGAAUUUUAGAUUUGAAAUACAUAUAGUCUCUUAAUUUAGAUUUGAAAAUGUACAUCUAUGCAAAUUCAUGUAAAUAUAGUCCAACUUUCUAGAUUUGUUAUCAUCUCUUAAUUUUCAGUUCCCACAAAAUGCUACCUCGGGUGUCUGGCAAAUAAGCUUGUCUAUUAUUGUUAGAAUAUAGGGCACCCAU